UACGAAGGGGGCUAGCGUUGCUCGGAAUCACUGGGCGUAAAGGGUGCGUAGGCGGUCGCGCAAGUCGGAUGUGAAAUCUCAGGGCUCAACCCUGAAACUGCAUUCGAUACUGCGUGGCUAGAGUGCUGGAGAGGAGACUGGAAUUUACGGUGUAGCAGUGAAAUGCGUAGAUAUCGUAAGGAAGACCAGUGGCGAAGCGAGUCUCUGGACAGCAACUGACGCUGAGGCACGAAGGCCAGGGGAGCAAACGGG
rnacentral:rRNA from 1 species